AUGAACGCUGGCGGCGUGCCUCAUCCCUGCCAGUCGAGCGAACAGACGAGGAGCUUGCUCCUCUGACGUUAGCGGCGGACGGGUGAGUAACACGUGGAUAACCUACCUAUAAGACUGGGAUAACUUCGGGAAACCGGAGCUAAUACCGGAUAAUAUAUUGAACCGCCUGGUUCAAUAGUGAAAGACGGUUUUGCUGUCACUUAUAGAUGGAUCCGCGCCGCAUUAGCUAGUUGGUAAGGUAACGGCUUACCAAGGCGACGCUGCGUAGCCGACCUGAGAGGGUGAACGGCCACACUGGAACUGAGACACGAUCCAGACUCCUACGGGAGGCGGCAGUAGGGAAUCUUCCGCAAUGGGCGAAAGCCUGACGGAGCAACGCCGCGUGAGUGAUGAAGGUCUUCGGAUCGUAAAACUCUGUUAUUAGGGAAGAACAAAUGUGUAAGUAACUAUGCACGUCUUGACGGUACCUAAUCAGAAAGCAACGGCUAACUACGUG
rnacentral:rRNA from 1 species